rnacentral:rRNA from 1 species
CACACGUGCUACAAUGGCGGUGACAAUGGGACGCUAAGGGGCAACCCUUCGCAAAUCUCAAAAAGCCGUCUCAGUUCGGAUUGGGCUCUGCAACUCGAGCCCAUGAAGUUGGAAUCGCUAGUAAUCGUGGAUCAGCAUGCCACGGUGAAUACGUUCCCGGGCCUUGUACACACCGCCCGUCACACCAUGGGAGUUGGUUUUACCUGAAGACGGUGCGCUAACCCGCAAGGGA